ensembl:misc_RNA Metazoa_SRP Metazoan signal recognition particle RNA
GCUGGGCACAGUGGUGCGUGCCUUUAGUCCCAGCUACUCGGGAGGCUGAGGUGGGAGGAUCGCUUGAGCCCAGGAGUUCUGGGCUGUAGUGCGCUAGGCUGAUUGGGUGUCUGCACUAAGUUCGGCAUCAAUAUGGUGACCUCCCGGGAGCAGAGGACCACCAGGUUGCCUAAGGAGGGGUGAACUGGCCCAGGUCGGAAACACGGAGCAGGUCAAAACUCCCGUGCUGAUCCGUAGUGGGAUUGUGCCUGUGAAUAGCCACUGUACUCCAGCCUGGGCAACAUAGCGAGAUCUCGUCUCU